rnacentral:rRNA from 1 species
AUGCAGUCGAGGGGUAUGGUUCUUCGGAACCGAGACCGGCGCACGGGUGCGUAACGCGUAUGCAAUCUACCUUUUACAGAGGGAUAGCCCAGAGAAAUUUGGAUUAAUACCUCAUAGCAUAGCAGCUUCGCAUGAAGCCACUAUUAAAGUCACAACGGUAAAAGAUGAGCAUGCGUCCCAUUAGCUAGUUGGUAAGGUAACGGCUUACCAAGGCUACGAUGGGUAGGGGUCCUGAGAGGGAGAUCCCCCACACUGGUACUGAGACACGGACCAGACUCCUACGGGAGGCAGCAGUGAGGAAUAUUGGACAAUGGGCGCAAGCCUGAUCCAGCCAUGCCGCGUGCAGGAUGACGGUCCUAUGGAUUGUAAACUGCUUUUGUACAGGAAGAAACAGUUCUACGUGUAGAACCUUGACGGUACUGUAAGAAUAAGGAUCGGCUAACUCCGUGCCAGCAGCCGCGGUAAUACGGAGGAUCCAAGCGUUAUCCGGAAUCAUUGGGUUUAAAGGGUCCGUAGGCGGUUUAGUAAGUCAGUGGUGAAAGCCCAUCGCUCAACGGUGGAACGGCCAUUGAUACUGCUAGACUUGAAUUAUUAGGAAGUAACUAGAAUAUGUAGUGUAGCGGUGAAAUGCUUAGAGAUUACAUGGAAUACCAAUUGCGAGGGCAGGUUACUACUAAUGGAUUGACGCUGAUGGACGAAAGCGUGGGUAGCGAACAGGAUUAGAUACCCUGGUAGUCCACGCCGUANACGAUGGAUACUAGCUGUUGGGCGCAAGCUCAGUGGCUAAGCGAAAGUGAUAAGUAUCCCACCUGGGGAGUACGUUCGCAAGAAUGAAACUCAAAGGAAUUUGACGGGGCCCGCACAAGCGGUGGAGCAUGUGGUUUAAUUCGAUGAUACGCGAGGAACCUUACCAAGGCUAAAUGUAGAUUGACCG